GCAGUCGUGGAACCUCAGGUGCCUCUGCGGCACCGAGCCUAGCUCUGAGCUAACGCAGAUCUCUAAGAGCGAGUACCAGCCGCCGGGAGAAAGGCAAGGGGAGUGCGCGGCUCGCCGCGCGCGGCACUCCCUCAGCAGAGGCUGAUUGGGAGGACGCUGACGCGGCCUCUUGCACCUGUGGCUACUCCUCCACAGACCUGGCUGCCGACCUCCUGUCUGCCCCUUCUGUGCCCAUGUCACCCUGGCCAAAUGUUUUAAAUGUUUUACAGCUUUGCAAAGGGAAGAAUUGAUUUACCGAACAGCUCAUUCUCCACAUUAAAAUUCUACUCAAGACACAAUUUUUUUUCUUUUUUUGAGACGGAGUCUUGCUCUGUCGCCCAGGCUGGAGUGCAGUAGUAGGAUCUCGGCUCACCGCAACCUCUGCCUCCCGGGUUCAAGCGAUUCUCCUGCCUCAGCCUCCCGAGUAGCUGGGACUACAGGCGUGUGCCACCACGCCCGGCUAAUUUUUGUAUUUUUAGUAGAGACGGGGUUUCACUAUGUUGGCCAGGCUGGUCUCGAAUUCCUGACCUCAUGAUCCGCCCGCCUCAGCUUCCCAAAGUGCUGGGAUUCCAGGCGUGAGCGACAGCGCCUGGCCUCAAGACACAGUUUUUAAAAAGAUAUAAUAAAAGCCCGAUUUCUUGACAUCAAUAAUUAAUAUCUCAACCUGGAUUAGUGAUUACUUAUAAGGUGCCUCCCUCUCCGCUAGGAGACCCCACUUCGCAUCAGAUUUCUGUGCAGUGCUUCUUACCGACCUACACCGGAAAGGGGCUUCUGUAUUAUUAAGAGCUACUCAGGAAAUACCUAGAGGACUGAAAUCCAGGACCGGGGAGGCCGCAGCUUGCCCCUGGCACCAAAAGAGUUGCUUGCAGCUCUGCCCCCCUGUGACACAGCCGCCCUCCGCCCCUGACCCCGCCCAUCACCAAGACCUGAGACUGCUGCCUGUUAGUGACUAGCAAAUUAGCCCCCAUCACCAAGACCUGAGGCUGCUGCUGCUGCCUGUUAGUGACUAGCAAAUCAGCCCCCAUCACCAAGACCUGAGGCUGCUGCCUGUUAGUGACUAGCAAAUCAGCCCUCCAUCUAUUUGCCCCACUGCUACUGUCUUAAAUUAGGCCUCCCCUAUAUCCAGCCUGAGUUAUCAUUAAGCCCGUUCACUGGACAUCCUCCCAGCUGUGCAGCCGCUCUCCACAUCCCCGCCACACACCCCAUUCUUGCACCUGCUGUCAGAGCGGUAUUUCUGAAACAGAAAUCUGAUCUUGUUACUUGACUACUUAAAAUGUGAAUGGUUCCCUUCAGCUUUUUUUCUAGGGAAUUUUCAAUCUGGGGUUCAUACAUAGAACUGAAUUUCAAUAUAAUUUCAAAUUCUGCCAAUAACAGGAAUGAGCUUGGAAGAAGAUCUCAAGCUUCAUAUGAGAAAAUAGGGCCACAUCUGAAGUUAGCCAUUGCUCUGAGUUCUGGUUCUUAUUAGAGGGAAAUGGUAUUUAGAUAUAACGAUCUGGCUCUAGGAGUGCUCACUGCUGUGAGUUUGACCUUAUUUCUAGUAAAAGACUUUUUUUAAGGUAAAAUAUAUCAUAAGUUUACAUUGAUACUGUCCAUCCAAAUUCAUGAUUCCAGAUAUGGGUCAUGCAAAUGAGCCAGAAACAUCAAACAGGAAACAUAACAAAAAACUGUCAAAAGCUACUCGGAUUAUGUCAAAAGGACUCAGAAACCAAUUUAAAGAAAUUUUUCCAUGUCAAAGAUGGGAGAAUUAAAGCACUAAAUGGACUAGAACUACAAAAUAUUAAAACAUAUCAAAUAUGUUUAAAUCUAGGUGUUUGUAAUGAUGAUGAUUUUAAAAAAAAUUAUUGUCACUCUUAGAGAAUGCUAGGAAACCAACUCAUUAUUUUGAAAACUGGUAAAUAAAGGGGAUGAAUUAAGCAUUUACUCUGCUUUCCCUGGACUGUCUGGGACCCAAAAAAUUGAUAAAGAGAAGUUUC
rnacentral:lncRNA from 10 species